ensembl:snoRNA
UGGUCAUGGUGUGUUGACAUGUAUUACCUGAAUUUAUUGCUGAUGUAUAAUAACACUUUAGCUCUGGAAUAAUAUAGCUUUUAGCUGAGAAAACCAAA